rnacentral:misc_RNA from 1 species
UGCGAAGGGGGCUAGCGUUGUUCGGAUUUACUGGGCGUAAAGCGCACGUAGGCGGACCCUUAAGUCAGGGGUGAAAGCCAACGGCUCAACUGUUGAACUACCAUUGGUACUGGUGGGCUUGAGUGAAGUCGAGGCGGGCGGAACUGGUGGUGUAGCGGUGAAAUGCAUAGAUACCACCAAGAACCCCGAUUGCGUAGGCAGCUCGCUAGGCUUUAACUGACGCUGAGGCACGAAAGCGUGGGGAGCGAACAGG